GCUCCCUUCUUCAAAUGACUGUGCAUUGCUUACAGGAGGACCCAGGAGCAGUUUUCCAAAAUAACCGCCCUUGCUGCCCUGAGCCUAUUUGUGAAGUAUUCCUGCGGUGGCGUCAGUGAGUGAUGAGUACCAGGAAGGGAUAAGCUUUGUUUUCUCAUCGAAGAGCUGUGCAAAGAAAGUGAGAAGCCCCUGCCCCUGUCUCCUGGGUUGGCGAUUCUUCCUUCACUGCAUUAUAACCAGGAGAAGGAUGGAAGGAAUAAGAGGGUCACUGGACACAGAGCCUUCGAGAGUGGGAACCAGAGAAAAUGCUGCCCCAGGACCAAGUGAGGAGUGGAUGUCUUGUGGCUGCUGAAGAGAGGCGGUGGAGUAUAGAGGCCAAGAUGGGGGCACCUCUGGGGCAGGCGGCUGUCUGCUUUGCUCAUUGCUCCAUCCCGAGAUAUGUUGACUCACAGAACAACCUACCUUUCACCUUACUUGUCUUUCUAGAAAAAGCCCAGUUCUUCAGAGCCUGAGAACCGCAACUA